CCUACGGGCGGCUGCAGUGGGGAAUAUUGGGCAAUGGGGGCAACCCUGAUCCAGCCAUGCCGCGUGUGUGAAGAAGGCCCUCGGGUUGUAAAGCACUUUCAGUGAGGAAGAACGCCUGGUGGUUAAUACCCAUCAGGAAAGACAUCACUCACAGAAGAAGCACCGGCUAACUCCGUGCCAGCAGCCGCGGUAAUACGGAGGGUGCGAGCGUUAAUCGGAAUUACUGGGCGUAAAGCGCGCGUAGGUGGCUUGAUAAGCCGGUUGUGAAAGCCCCGGGCUCAACCUGGGAACGGCAUCCGGAACUGUCAAGCUAGAGUGCAGGAGAGGAAGGUAGAAUUCCCGGUGUAGCGGUGAAAUGCGUAGAGAUCGGGAGGAAUACCAGUGGCGAAGGCGGCCUUCUGGACUGACACUGACACUGAGGUGCGAAAGCGUGGGUAGCAAACAGGAUUAGAUACCCCGGUAGUC
rnacentral:rRNA from 1 species